rnacentral:tRNA from 1 species
GGAUCCGUGGCGCAGUUUGGAUAGCGCGACAGCCUUCUAAGUUGUUGUAGGUCGAGGGUUCAAAUCCCUCCGGAUCCGCCA